AUACGGAGGGUGCGAGCGUUACUCGGAGUCACUGGGCGUAAAGCGUCCGUAGGCGGUCGGGUAAGUCGGGUGUGAAAGCCCCGGGCUCAACCUGGGAAGUGCACCCGAUACUGCUCGACUCGAGUGCGGGAGAGGAUGGCGGAAUUCCCGGUGUAGCGGUGAAAUGCGUAGAGAUCGGGAGGAACACCAGUGGCGAAGGCGGCCAUCUGGCCCGCAACUGACGCUGAGGGACGAAAGCGUGGGGAGCAAACAGAAUUAGAAACCCGAGUAGUCC
rnacentral:rRNA from 1 species